UACGCAGGUGGCAAGCGUUGUCCGGAUUUAUUGGGUUUAAAGGGUGCGUAGGCGGUCUAUUAAGUCAGUGGUGAAAUAUGGCAGCUCAACUGUCAAGGUGCCAUUGAUACUGAUGGACUUGAGUGAAGUCGAAGUAGGCGGAAUUGACGGUGUAGCGGUGAAAUGCUUAGAUAUCGUCAAGAACACCGAUAGUGAAGACAGCUUACUAGGCUUAUACUGACGCUGAGGCACGAAAGUGUGGGGAUCAAACAGG
rnacentral:rRNA from 1 species